rnacentral:rRNA from 1 species
AACCUGAAACCGUGUGCUUACAAGUAGUCAGAGCCCGUUAAUGGGUGAUGGCGUGCCUUUUGUAGAAUGAACCGGCGAGUUACGAUUUGAUGCAAGGUUAAGCAGUAAAUGUGGAGCCGUAGCGAAAGCGAGUCUGAAUAGGGCGUUUAGUAUUUGGUCGUAGACCCGAAACCAGGUGAUCUACCCUUGGUCAGGUUGAAGUUCAGGUAACACUGAAUGGAGGACCGAACCGACUUACGUUGAAAAGUGAGCGGAUGAACUGAGGGUAGCGGAGAAAUUCCAAUCGAACCUGGAGAUAGCUGGUUCUCUCCGAAAUAGCUUUAGGGCUAGCCUCAAGUGAUGAUUAUUGGAGGUAGAGCACUGUUUGGACGAGGGGCCCCUCUCGGGUUACCGAAUUCAGACAAACUCCGAAUGCCAAUUAAUUUAACUUGGGAGUCAGAACAUGGGUGAUAAGGUCCGUGUUCGAAAGGGAAACAGCCCAGACCACCAGCUAAGGUCCCAAAAUAUAUGUUAAGUGGAAAAGGAUGUGGCGUUGCCCAGACAACUAGGAUGUUGGCUUAGAAGCAGCCAUCAUUUAAAGAGUGCGUAAUAGCUCACUAGUCGAGUGACACUGCGCCGAAAAUGUACCGGGGCUAAACAUAUUACCGAAGCUGUGGAUUGUCCUUUGGACAAUGGUAGGAGAGCGUUCUAAGGGCGUUGAAGCAUGAUCGUAAGGACAUGUGGAGCGCUUAGAAGUGAGAAUGCCGGUGUGAGUAGCGAAAGACGGGUGAGAAUCCCGUCCACCGAUUGACUAAGGUUUCCAGAGGAAGGCUCGUCCGCUCUGGGUUAGUCGGGUCCUAAGCUGAGGCCGACAGGCGUAGGCGAUGGAUAACAGGUUGAUAUUCCUGUACCACCUAUAAUCGUUUUAAUCGAUGGGGGGACGCAGUAGGAUAGGCGAAGCGUGCGAUUGGAUUGCACGUCUAAGCAGUAAGGCUGAGUAUUAGGCAAAUCCGGUACUCGUUAAGGCUGAGCUGUGAUGGGGAGAAGACAUUGUGUCUUCGAGUCGUUGAUUUCACACUGCCGAGAAAAGCCUCUAGAUAGAA